UUUGGUAAAUAUAACGCGAUUGAUCCACCUGAAACCAUUCCGAACUCAGAAGUUAAAUAUCGUAGUGCCGAUAGUAGUGUAAAUUUCUUUUAUGCGAGGGUAGGAAAUUGCCGGAC
rfam:Bacterium endosymbiont of Pedicinus badii strain PRTG Contig_96, whole genome shotgun sequence.